GCAAACUUGGUCAUUUAGAGGAAGUAAAAGUCGUAACAAGGUUUCCGUAGGUGAACCUGCGGAAGGAUCAUUAACGUGCAUCCGACGGGGGUGGCUCCCUCCCUGCUCCGGACCGAAAGGCCGUGCAGCGGGAGGGGCCGCGCCCCGCUCGACCCUUGCAAACCCACAGUGCACCUUUGCCGGCGACGGGCCCGAGAGGGCCCCGUGCCGGACCACAAACUCUAAACUUUUGAAAUGCCAGCGGACAGCGUUCCGCCCAAACUUUAACAACUUUCAACAACGGAUCUCUUGGCUCUCGCAUCGAUGAAGAACGCAGC
rnacentral:misc_RNA from 1 species